rnacentral:tRNA from 1 species
GGCUGUGCUCUGUGAAAGAGCGUCUGCUUGGCAUGUAGAAGGUUCUGGGUUCAAUCCCCGGCAUCUCCA